GAGAAUUAGAAACAGAGAAGAAGAGAGAAUUUUUAUUGAUCUGUAUAAUAGUCUUACCACAAUGUGAAGCAUUCUCAAUGCUUUUAUACACACAGAUUACAAACUUGUAGAAGCAUCUAGAAGGUUCUUAACUAACACACCUAAUGCACAUGUCAGCCUAACAACUUAACAACUUGUAACAAACUUCUCUGUUAACUAUCUGUUUCUGUUAACUAACUUUGUGACACCACAUUUUGUAUCAUCUGAUCAUUUUAACACACCCC
rnacentral:lncRNA from 1 species